rnacentral:rRNA from 1 species
UACGAAGGGUGCAAGCGUUACUCGGAAUUACUGGGCGUAAAGCGUGCGUAGGUGGUGAGUUAAGUCUGUCGUGAAAGCCCCGGGACCUCGAACCUGGGAACACUGGGACUGUGGAUACUGGCUCGCUAGAGUGCGGUAGAGGAGAGUGGAAUUCCCCGGUGUAGCAGUGAAAUGCGUAGAGAUCGGGAGGAACAUCAGUUGCGAAGGCGGCUCUCUGGACCAGCACUGAUACUGAGGCACGAAAGCGUGGGGAGCAAACAGG